GGAAGGUGAUCUAGCUGUGUCACCCCAUUGAUCAGCAGGGCUGAUCUGGCUGGCUAAGCAGGUAUCUACCCCUUCCUCCAUCACCUCUCUUAUGUGCAUCCCUCUGCUAGAACCUCCAAACAAACUCUCAAGGUCUAUGGAACUUGCCUCAAUGCUAUAGUGCUCCCACAGAGAACCAGGGUUUGAUGCUUAGUGAGGCAUGCACUUUACU
rnacentral:snRNA from 1 species